GGCAGAGAAAAAUUAGGAACGAGAUCUACGUUUAAAAUGGAAACAUGAUUCCUCCAUUUUACUUAUAUAUCUUUUCCCGUUUUUUCUGCUUUUAAACCCGUGGAGUUGUAAUCUCCUAUAUCGGAUAUAUAUCAUCAAUACAAAUCAGUAUAUUACUUCCUACUUUAUUCUAUAUCUCCCCUGUUUCUCUGUAUAACCUUAUCAGAGACGACUAAGAAGGAGAACCCAAAUUUCUGCUAAAUAAUUGUUGCUAAGCAACAACCAUAACAGUUCAUGAUUGAUCUCUUCCAGUAGAUUACAACUCCAAAAGCUUCAAUUUUUGAGAUUCCGACGAGGCUGAGCGCAGAUCCGAGCAUCGCUGAUCUUAUUGUUGAAGGUUGUUGUUUUAAACCCCCAUUUUUAUGGUAAUCAUCAUUCUUCAUCGUCUCCAUUCAUUUCCUUAUUCUCGAGCAAAUCCAAUCAGAUGUAAACUUUAAUCGUUGAUAUGUUAAUUAGGGUUUUCACGCAUAUUUCAAUCGAUUUUUGAAAUUAGUGAUUAUGCAAGUUGCUUUGAAUUGUUCGUGUAUUAUAUCCAUGUAUAAUAAUGUGAGUAUUCCGCUAUUUGAUUUUUUAUUUUAUGCGUAGAGAAGUCCAAUGAUCAUUCGUAGAAUUUUUUAGCGUAAGGAGACUACAUAAUUUGAAAAUUUGAGGUUAGGUUUGCUUUAAAAAUGCACAUGUUGAACAUUUAAAUUUUGUUAAUCACAUUAUAAAACCAAUAUAGACGACAAUGAGUUAAAAUAUCAUUUGUCUUGAGUUGUGCUUGCAACUAUGUUCUUGUAAAUUAACUUAUAUAUUAAAGUUUUGUAUUGUGGAUAUACACUUUUACUACCGCCGUUUCCCCAUAAACCAUCAGUCACCACCAUUACACUUCUUCUCUCUUCGGGUCAUUCUCUGAUUUCGCCGAAUUUAUGGUUCCGAUACCAGAGGUGAAGCAAGUGAAGCUUUUGAAUCGUGGUGAAAGCCUUAUAAUUACUUCAUAUGACAUUUGGGAUGAUUUGUCGACGGAAGCCGCAAUCAAAUAUUGCCGCCGUUUGCCGUCUGUAGUUAUGAAAUUAGUUUUUUCUCAGGCGUAUAACUAAUGCAUCGAUGAUAUUGAGGUUGUAUGUGCAACGCUAUGUAUAAUGAUGUAUUUGAGGUCAAUUUAGUGUAUCCCACCAAACAAGAUUCUAUGAAGGGGAGGAAGAAUUUAAUAGACCUUGGCUUCCAAGUAUGGUGAUUUGAUAUGAAUGGAUUUGACAAAAUCUGAUUAAAGGUAUGUGUUUUGACCUUUUUCCCCCUCUAAUGUUCUAUGCAAACGACGAUUACGUGGUGUUUUAUUUUUGACUUAACGGUUUAAUUUUAGCAUACAAGCGAUGUCUGAUCAAUGGACAAUCAAAGAAUGUUAUAUUUAUGUUUAAUUUUUUUUGAUAGAUACACAUCGUUUAUGGGGUCUUAGUAGUUGGUUGCUAUUAAUGAUGGUAUUGUACUAUUGUAUUGGUUUGUAUUUUUGGUUUUGGUCCUUUGUUUCUA